CAAUACCACCGCACUUGUAAAUCAGGUGACCAGUGGUGGUAGACUUACCAGAAUCGACGUGACCGAUAACAACGACGUUAAUAUGUCCCUUUUCCUUGCCCAUUUUUUACAAUUAAAUUUUUUGGCGUGUGGUGAAUGACAAAGGCGAAGCAUCCUUCUAGUACUACUAAGUGAUUUGUGACUGCUCUCCACAAGAAAAUAUGUGACUACUUUUAGAUGAAAUCUGGUUACCGAGCUGCAGAAGACUACGGCAAAUAGCUGUUAAAGUAGUUUAUUGGUAUGAAUCUUAUAGUUUAUGUGGAAAAGGUGAGAAAAGCCUAUGUAUAUUUAAAAGGACGUAAAGUCAUAUGUAAAUAAUUAUUGAAGACUCUAAGGAGUUUAUUCCAUCAUAAGCAAAGCGAGUUAUAAAAAACUAAAUACUAUCCUAUAACAACUGCAUAGCAGUGUGACAAAAUGUGAUUAGCAAUCGUUAAGCUAAUAUAAGAAAGUCUGCAUUUUAAUAAUGAACUACGUCGGCCUGUGUUAAAUAAAUAUAGCGCAAUAGAACGUAGAUUCAUUUUUAUUAACUAUAAACAAUAGACCUAAAAGAAUGUUGAACAAUAGGUAAUUACAAGUGAAACACAUAGAAAGGGCUUACUCGAAACAAUUAAUGAAGUAAUAAAUGACCACAAUAAUUCAAAUCCUCUGUUAGUGUUUUUUAGAAAUAGCUGAUUUUCUUUAUAACUCUAUGUGAUAGACAUUUCACUAUACUUGAAUUGAUUACC